rnacentral:rRNA from 1 species
GACAGAGGGUGCGAACGUUGCUCGGAAUUACUGGGCGUAAAGCGCGUGUAGGCGGGCACUCAAGUCAGGUGUGAAAGCCCCAGGCUCAACCUGGGAAUUGCACUUGAAACUGGGUGCCUUGAGUACUGGAGAGGGAAGCGGAAUUCCUGGUGUAGAGGUGAAAUUCGUAGAUAUCAGGAGGAACACCGGUGGCGAAGGCGGCUUCCUGGACAGUCACUGACGCUGAGACGCGAAAGCGUGGGGAGCAAACAGG